AGAAGGAGGCCACAGAGAAUGUGAAGGAGGUGAAACUCUGUGAGAAGAUGGCCCAGUUUUAUGUUAAAAAGCUUGCAGACAGCCAGCC